rnacentral:tRNA from 1 species
GGCGCUGUGGCUUAGUUGGUUAAAGCGCCUGUCUCGUAAACAGGCGAUCCUGGGUCCAAAUCCCAGCAGUGCCU